AAUUAUAAAUGGGAUGUGGGUUGCGAGAUGAAUGAAUACAUUUUCAAAUGGCAAUGGGAGGAGUUGUUGCUUUUGCUAAAGGCAUGACUGGAGUAAGUGAUGGAGGAAUAGCAGAGUUAUAUCAUGAAUAGUAGUGUCAUUGAUGUUAGCAGGAGUGUGUGGACAACGGGAAUAAACUCGAAGAGGUAGAGCAUGAUUGAUUGAUGGAGAUGGAAGAAUAGGAAGAGCUUCAAAGAUGAGAUUUUUAUCUAUGGUACUUGUUGAGAAAUAUGGAGAGGUUUCAAAGAAGGUUACAUCGACUAAAAUAAAAUAUUUUUUUAUUGUUGGAUCAUAGCACUUGUAACCUUU
rnacentral:misc_RNA from 1 species